GUCACUUUUAGCAUAGCUGUUAAUUUUUUUAUUUCUCUCCUUUUUAUAGAAUUUAUCAAUAUUCCAUCUGAAUUAGUAAGAAUCAGAGGAUUGGUAUACUGAAGUGUCACUAAAUGUAAACUAACUUUAUACUUAUUGCAACCAGUAACUGAUGAAAUGAUCAUAAAAUUGCCAUUAUACCUGCCCCCAACCUUUUUUCCCCACAUGAUUGUGUUUAGACUGUUUAAAGACAUCAACAUUAAUAUUGAUUUGGAUAGGAAAUAUUGUAAAAUGAAUUUCAAAUUUCAAAUUGAAUAACUAAUUCCAAGAAUUGUAAUAGUUUUGUCAUAGAUAAUUCCUAUAUUGUCUCCCCUCAGAAUACACUCCAAGUCCUAUCAGAUGUUUAAAUGUGGUACAGUGUUACCCCUCUACCCUUUACUUUAGUAGUUGUUUACUAUGCAAUUCUUCAGACAAUUUCAACACAUGGUUUGACAAAAACCAGUUGUUAUGACUACUGUAAAAUAUUUAUUUUUUUGAAUGUUUAAGUUUGUGAAAUAUAAAGCAAACAAUUGUGGGUGACGAACACUUAUUACACAACACUGCACCUGUUAUAACACAGAAAAUUUGAAGAUUGAUCUAUUCUUAUGAACGAUGUGAGGUUGAUUACAUUGUACCUAAGGGAUAAAAGAUAAUGGCCUUGCAAAUAUAAACCGUUGUCUAAAAAGGCCUUAUCUUGAUCUGAACAAUCAUAUGAAGUCCAUUAAUAUUUUUAAUGUCUCCUUCACCAAUGCCAAGGAUUGUAACUUCAAACAUUGAGUUUAUGGUAAAUAUGAAUACCUAUUUUUCUAUCUCUAAGACGAAACAUUUUAUAUAUGUACCUAAAGUUGAUUUGAUAAAAGUGUUUAACCUGGUAUAAAGACUCACUAUAUGUUUUCUGUGUAAUGUUUUGUGGACUUCUUUGUUGCUGUGUAUUUUUUAGAAUGUUCCCUUGGUAUCUUAUGCGAUUUUCAUGUAAAAGCUAUGAAUAGCAUUGAAUUAUAUGAUAUUCGAUUCAACAUUUUAUGUUUAUAACCACAAAACAAGUCAGUGUUACAGCAAGUUAUAGCUAUACUGCAAGCUUUGCAGUUGUUAGGUAUUGGGUAUUCACAAAUAACACAUUCAUCUAUGAUAAAUUUGCAGUAAAGGAAAAAGCACCAGAUUAUAUCUGAAAUAAUUUUAAAAGUGUAUCUAAUUUAAGUC
rnacentral:lncRNA from 1 species